GGGUGAACCGGGGAGGGGCGAGGGUGGCAGGUUCUCCCUCCCGCGGCUACCGAGGGGCACCUGCGCGGCCAGAGUCUGGGGUCACGGCUCCCGGUUAGGGUCUGCACUAAAGUCUGGAGAAGCUGGGCUGGGGGCGAACGGCAGACCCUCGCCAGAGGCCGGAGGCGGGAUGCGGCCGGGGCGGGGCCGGUCCGGGGCGGGGCCGGUCCGGGGCGGGGCGUGACGGUGGGUGGGGCCCGGGGAGACCAAUAGGCGUGCGCGGCUCGGGCCCCGCCCCGCCCCCCACGGCGGCUGCUGCAUAGUCAUGAGCUCGGGCGGCGCUGCGUCAGCGGAAGCGGCGCGCGGCGGCUGUUUCCGACCUGAUAAAGCGGCGUUGUCCCCGCGCGCUGGCCGCAUCCUCGCAAGCGCUCCGUUCGCGCCCGCGUCUCUCGCUGACUGACCGCCCGGCCGGCCAGCUGAGGAGCAGCCGCCGCCGGGCCCUGCCGCCGCCGCCGCCCCCGGAGCGCCGCGCCCCCCGCCGCCCCCUCCCGGCCCGGCCCGGCCGCCCCGCCGCGCCGCCGCCCCGCGGCCCCGGCCGGAGGAGACAGGGUGUGUUGCUCUUGACUGGGCUGCGGGGGAACACCUUCCAGCAAAGGGCUUUUUCAGAGGAGGGCACCGACAGUGUUCCCCUCACACCCGGGUCGGCAGUAGCGCCGAGACACAGCCCGGACACUCGACACGGAUGUGACGCCCAGAAGUGCGGACGGUGGUCUGUCUGGGUCCUCUGUUGAGCUUGCUCAUCUUGGGGAUUUCACUGGCAGUGAGGGAAGCCACAUUCCUGAACCAGUGCCCGAGAGGCUCUUUAUUGUGCUGCCUUCAAGAAGUACCUUCCAGCCUGGGAUUCUCUGUCAGCUGGUUUGCAGUUUUUGGAGUUUGCUGAAGGGUCUCUCCUGGGGCUUCACCCUUGAAUCCUGGAGUCCGUUGAAUUAGUUGGUGACCAAAUUCUUCCCACUGGAAAGAAAGGAAGGUCUUGAGCGCAAAAUCCAUAACAGACCCUUAGAUAAAGAGGGAUUGGAAGAGAGUGGAUUCGGGUCCAGAUGUCAUGGUUGAUGAGAUUUUACAUACAGAUUUUCCUGUACAGUUUUAGACAAACAACAUUUUACUCACCAUUUUAGGAAAACACAUUUAUCCAAAAGAGGAGGUGAUUUUUGGUUUGGAAAGAGGAGUGUUUUUCCAUCAGUUAUUUUGAGGGGAGGGGUUUGGGGAUGAACUUGGGAUGUGGACGCUGGGGGGAUGGUGAGGGGGGAACCAGCUGAGGGGCUGGAAGGCAGCCCUCUCAUCAUUGCGAUCACCUGUUAAGUUAGGAGUGCUUCAGAGCGACAUUCCCUUAAAGCAGAGAUCUUCAGACUUUCUUGCCCCUGUUCUGUGAAAUAACAAAAACUGUGGACACAUUUUUAAGUUGCCAUCUAGACUUUUUCACUUAAAAUAACUAAACACUCUAAUGAUCUGAUAGCCCACCCUCACCC
ensembl:lncRNA